rnacentral:rRNA from 1 species
GAUGACCGCUUUCGGGCGGGGAUUAGUGGCGAACGGGUGAGUAACACGUGGGCAAUCUGCCCUGCACUCUGGGACAAGCCCUGGAAACGGGGUCUAAUACCGGAUAUGACUGUCCAUCGCAUGGUGGAUGGUGUAAAGCUCCGGCGGUGCAGGAUGAGCCCGCGGCCUAUCAGCUUGUUGGUGAGGUAGUGGCUCACCAAGGCGACGACGGGUAGCCGGCCUGAGAGGGCGACCGGCCACACUGGGACUGAGACACGGCCCAGACUCCUACGGGAGGCAGCAGUGGGGAAUAUUGCACAAUGGGCGAAAGCCUGAUGCAGCGACGCCGCGUGAGGGAUGACGGCCUUCGGGUUGUAAACCUCUUUCAGCAGGGAAGAAGCGAAAGUGACGGUACCUGCAGAAGAAGCGCCGGCUAACUACGUGCCAGCAGCCGCGGUAAUACGUAGGGCGCAAGCGUUGUCCGGAAUUAUUGGGCGUAAAGAGCUCGUAGGCGGCUUGUCACGUCGGUUGUGAAAGCCCGGGGCUUAACCCCGGGUCUGCAGUCGAUACGGGCAGGCUAGAGUUCGGUAGGGGAGAUCGGAAUUCCUGGUGUAGCGGUGAAAUGCGCAGAUAUCAGGAGGAACACCGGUGGCGAAGGCGGAUCUCUGGGCCGAUACUGACGCUGAGGAGCGAAAGCGUGGGGAGCGAACAGGAUUAGAUACCCUGGUAGUCCACGCCCGUAAACGGUGGGCACUAGGUGUGGGCAACAUUCCACGUUGUCCGUGCCGCAGCUAACGCAUUAAGUGCCCCGCC